AUCGAACGCUGGCGGCAGGCCUAACACAUGCAAGUCGAACGAGUGGCGGACGGGUGAGUAAUGUCUGGGAAACUGCCUGAUGGAGGGGGAUAACCACUGGAAACGGUAGCCAAUACCGCAUACCAUCGGAUGUGCCCAGCGCGGAUGAGCUAGUGGGUGGGGUAAAGGCUCACCUAGGGGACGAUCCCUAGCUGGGCUGAGAGGAUGACCGGCCACAUUGGAACUGGAACAGGGCCCGGACUCCUACGGAGGCCGGCGGGGGGAAUUUUUGCACAAUGGGGAAAAGCCUACGGAAGACAUGCGGGUGAGUGAAAGAGGGCCUCCGGGUUUUAAGGUCCUUUCAUCGGGAAGACGGUACCCGCAGAGAAAGCACCGGCUAACUCCGUGCCAGCAGCCGCGGUAAUAC
rnacentral:rRNA from 1 species